rnacentral:lncRNA from 1 species
AAAAUUGAAAAGUCUACUACUGCAGAAUAAAGCAGAAAUAAUCUUGUUUUGAUGCUCAAAAACAAAGUUUUAAUUUGAUCCUUCUACUCUCUUUUCUUAUAUAAUACCUCUUAUAAUUCGAUUCAAUCAGCACUUUCUUAAAUAGUAUACUAAAAAAUAUGAAAUAAUCGUUAUACUUUAAAAACUUAAAACUAGUAGAUAAUGGUGUUUUUAUAUUUUUAUAUUUAACACUCUCCAUUAUGUCAGUUCAAAAUAUGGAUUUGAAUUAAAUAUGAGAAAAUUACUUAUGUUAGAAAUCUGACGUGACUCGAACUCAAAACAUUCUAUGCUGAUACCAUAUUAAAGAAUAUGAAACGAUUUAUUAUACUCUAAAGCCUUAAACCAGUAAAAAAAAAAAAGAUACUUUUAUAUU